AACGAACGCUGGCGGCAGGCCUAACACAUGCAAGUCGAGCGCCCCGCAAGGGGAGCGGCGGACGGGUGAGUAACGCGUGGGAACGUACCCUUUGCUACGGAAUAGCCUCGGGAAACUGGGAGUAAUACCGUAUGUGCCCUUCGGGGGAAAGAUUUAUCGGCAAAGGAUCGGCCCGCGUUGGAUUAGGUAGUUGGUGGGGUAAUGGCCUACCAAGCCGACGAUCCAUAGCUGGUUUGAGAGGAUGAUCAGCCACACUGGGACUGAGACACGGCCCAGACUCCUACGGGAGGCAGCAGUGGGGAAUCUUAGACAAUGGGCGCAAGCCUGAUCUAGCCAUGCCGCGUGAGCGAUGAAGGCCUUAGGGUUGUAAAGCUCUUUCAGUGGGAAGAUAAUGACUGUACCCACAGAAGAAGCCCGGCUAACUCCGUG
rnacentral:rRNA from 1 species